CUGCACUUUGGCAGAAUCGAAUCCCAUCAGGUUCCAGGUUGACUCAGUCUUCCGUCCUUCCGAGGUGGGUAAAAUGAGGACUCAGAUUGUCUGGGGCAAGAGGCUGACUCUGUAAACUGCUUAGAGAGGGUUGUAAAGCAUUAUAAAGU